rnacentral:misc_RNA from 1 species
GAGGUUCACUUGGUGUUUGAGGGUACUAUUGCCGUGAGCUUGGUGUUGAGUUUGGGAUUAUUGUGCGUGAGGUUGCUUAAGGUAACUUGUUAUUGCCGUGGGUUCCAUCCUUGUUGCUUGUGGUAUUGAGUAUUUCGGCCAUUGUGGGGUUUGAGAGUAACCUUGUUGCCGUGAGACUCCUUGUGGUGAGUUUGGUGGCCGUGAGCUCCUUGUGACCUUGGGGCGCAUUGUUGGGUUGUUGGCAUUGCCGUGAACUUCAUGGUGAACCUCUUGGUGUUUGAAGUUUACUAGUUGCCGUGAGUUCUUGGAGUACCCUAGUAUUG